UACGGGGGGAGCAAGCGUUGUUCGGAUUUACUGGGCGUAAAGGGCGCGUAGGCGGUCACGACAAGUCAGUUGUGAAAUCUCCGGGCUUAACUCGGAACGGUCAACUGAUACUGUCGGACUAGAGUGCAGAAGGGGCAACUGGAAUUCUCGGUGUAGCGGUGAAAUGCGCAGAUAUCAGGAAGAACACCCGUGGCGAAGGCGGCUCUCUGGGAGGGUACUGACGCUGAGACGCGAAAGCGUGGGGAGCGAACAGG
rnacentral:rRNA from 1 species